UCUUACUUUAAAAUUCUGGUGCUGUUGAAGCUGCCCUCUCUCGUUUCUUUUCUAUCGUUUCUCAAUAAUUUAGUGGCCUCCCGUUUUAUUUCGGUAAGAAGCAACCAUGUUUUGAUUAAUCUUUUUGUCUGUUUCAGAAGUCAACACAUGUUCAAGUGUGCCUAACCUAACUUCAUAGCAUCUCCUAGGCCCAUAGCUUGGAUAGUAUCAGUGGAGCACUUUCGUGGACAUCUUUCACAUCAUAGCAGUAAAUCCAUGUCUACAUAAUGACUUUUACUAAAUGAUGCAACGAAAAGUCAGGGUGAAUUGCUAAGUUCCCCAACCUCAGACUGAACAACUAUGUUUUGAAGCGAAUUGAAAGGUGACUUUAAAGUUCUUUCUCUACUUGUUGCACUCAAGCUUGUAUUUCAUGCUGUGAAACUUUUGUAGCUAACAUUUCGUAUUUGAGUAUGUUGAGAACGAUGGAUGUUUAAGGGGAAAAUUCGUUUUGUGGAUCAUUGACUUUAAGGGUAAACCAAGCAAGCGAAUUAUUGUGACAUCAUGCUCGCAACAAGGUAGAUGCAGAGUCAAGGGGAAAUAGGCUUGAACUUCGGUGUACGUUUCCUUGAACUUCGGCGAACUUCGGUGAACUUCGGUGAACUUCAGUGAACUCUAGUGAACUUCGAGAACUUCGGUGAACUUCGGUGAACUUCGCGGAACUUCGAGUGAAGUUCUCGAACUUCGACCUGAUCAAGAGAUAUGAAAGCAAAAUUUUCCCUCCGUAAUCUUUGUAAUUCGGCCCGUAAAUAUCUGCUUUGAGAAAGCUGGUGACUCGCUUAUAGUAAGCACUCAAAAUCGCUAGGUUCAGCCUUUAAAAUGUACUUAUUUAUUUUGAACUUCAGUGAACUUCUAUGAUUUAUUUUGAACUUCGGAGAACUUCGAGAUUUAUUUUGAACUUUGGGGAACUUCGACAUUUAACUAUGAACUUCGAGGAACUUCAAUGUCUGAUUUUGAACUUCGGUGAACUGCGUGAACUUCGAUGGAUUUCGGUGAACUUCGGUUGAUUUCGUUGAACUUCGGUUGAUUUUGGUGAACUCCGAUCAAAUUUAACAUAGCGAACUUCAGUAAACUUCGGCUGAACUUCGGCCGAAGUUCAUGAACUUCGACUUCGGGUGUACAAUUUUUCGGAGCCUAUUUCCCCCUGUGCAGAGUAGACUAUGUAGUGGAGUUAUUUACUUCGUGCAAUAAAGUGAUGCAACUGAGUCAA